rnacentral:tRNA from 1 species
UGCCGACUAGCUCAAUUGGCAGAGCGCGUGACUCUGGAUCAUGAGGUUCCAGGUUCGAACCCUGGGUCGGCAGCCA